rnacentral:lncRNA from 1 species
UUUAUCAAACUGAAAGAAACCUAAAAACCUUCUCUCAACUCGCUCUCACUCUCAAACCCAUCUCCUCUCUUGCUCUCGCUUUCAUUCUCGCACCCAACAGAAAUCUUCGAACUGAAAACCCAAUCCAUCAUCAAUUUCUUCGAAUCUGACAUGGAAACUGAAAACCCAGAAUCAUCUCAACCAUCUCACCUCACAAAAUAGAAAACCCCAUUCUAGCCAAACGAUGUCUGUCUCAAUCUCAAUUCGUAUCUUGGUCUCAGUCUGAGUUCGCAUCUAUCACUGGCGAUUGCAUUGGGUAGCAGCACAAGCGAUUCAGGCUGAGGCUGUUAUCUCUUUAAUCCAAAAUAGGAAGAGGAAAGUUCAAGGGCAAGCCCACGGGUCACUACGACUUCUCCACUCACGAAGAGAUGGCAGUCAAUUUGAAGGUAUUGGAGUUCGAUUCGUAGUAGGUCAUUUGAAGAUUAUCCACAAUGAAAGGCUUAUUAGUUAGCUCAAAGUGAGAUCUGCUAUUGGUCAUAAUCAGCGUCCUCAUCAUAGUUCUUCUUCAAUCUUCUUCUAUUAGUACUAACAAGUACAUAUACUACUCUACUACUACUCCUACUCCAUUUCUUUAUAUCAACUGGUAAUUUUUUUUUUUUAA